UAAUGGACGGCAGCAAGCUGUCCUGGUUGUGAGCGACUACAUGGGUUUUGGUUCCAGAGCUGGCCUGAGUUCUGGUGACCAGGAUUUUCUGGAUUCUCAUGAUCUCCCGUCAUGACAAGAGAUGCUUUGCUAAGUGAUAGGGACAGAAUUAAAAGGGUGAACCCUUGCCAUGUGCAGUAAAAGGAAUGGACAUUCAUUUUCAUUCAUCACCGGAGUGGGAAGAGCUCAGACUCAAGAUGGGACAGACCGUUGCCAGGAAUACAGAAGCUAAGCAGCGGGGUAUCCCAGGGAAGGUACACCAUAGGAACUCACAAAUGCCCCACGUGGAAGAUCAGAGCCAAGGAGGAGGGAGGCUCUAGAUGCAAAGCAGGAACGAUGGCCCGGGUGUAAGGCUGCUCCUGGGAACACGUGUUACAUUUGACUGAGACAUUCACAAUCUCUUGCUAAUGUGCUCUGACUUCAGUCCCAUGGACAAGCUGAGUGGCCCCAUGCUGGGUACAGAGGGGACCUUGGUGUGUAUGUCUGUGUCUACACAGACAUGGACAGACAACACCCCUGGCUUUGGCAUUAUCGUGGGUGUAACCCACAGGCUUUCUGCUGUCGUUUUCUGUAAACUUCUAGUUCCUCAGGAAAGCAAAAGCACAACCCCAAAGCUGUUUUCUUGAGCACUAAAUUCUCAGCAGGUAUCCUUGAGCUGGAUUUGGUAGAAAAAUUUCACCCUCCUGACAUAUAGAGUGGAGGCCUUGUUUCCGGCCACAUUUUACCCAGACUUCCUCAGACAUCCACCACCCCUGGCUGGUACCUUGCAAACCUUCUAGACUCUUCUCUGAGCAUGAGGCUCAUUCUCUGCAGAACACUGGCAGGCAGCAGUAACAUUAUGUAUCUGCUCGGCGUUCAGGCAAGAAAGCAUUAUGUUCACGGAUCAUUAUUGACAUCCUGACAUCUGUCACCUCCUUUCAUAGCAGUUAAAUCUUGCUUUAUCUGUAAAUGUCACCAUGUCAUUUAUU